UAUGUUUCUACAUUCUGGUUCCAAAAUGGUACAAGGAUAUGACUUCUGCACACAAGAAAUGUUUCUACAAGUUGAAAUUAUUUCAAUUCUAUUCUGCCCAUCUCUAGAAUCAGUGCACAAGAAAACAAAGGAUGGAGGACUGAUGUCCAACAUAAAUAAAUCAUCCAAAGAAACCAGUCAUCAUACACCAACUCUGCCAGAAACGACACCCGGUACACAAUUGAGCCCUGAAUCAAAAGAUCACAAUCUUUCGACAAAAACAGCGACACCGAGUACAGAAUAUAACAUUGAAUACAAACUGAUCUCCAAGUUCAUUUUUUUAUUUAUUUUUACUAUACAAGCAAAUCCAAGCACUAUGAUCAGUUCAGCGAAACACUCCAGUAGAGGAACAUCAUUUUCUUGCUCGUCUAAUUAAUAGCUACACUCCAUCUUCUAUUCCACCAAAGCAAGCAUCGGGUUGUCUUGAAUCAACAUCUCAUCGAAAUCCCUCUGUACUUUCCCAGGUGCUCUCCCCCUGCCGCGACCAUCAUACAACCCUCUCCCCUUCUGUGUUCUGUAAUGACAAUUGCACAAUCCUCUGGUUCUUUUAGCCCGCUCACACGUAUCCUUCUUCACCACCACGGUCCCACCCAACAAGAUAACAACACGGACCGACCCGGACCCUAGCUCUGUUUAUUAUGCAUGUUCCUUCAGUUUUCUUCUGUGUAGCCAUGUAGUUUCUUCUCUACCCCAUCUGGAGAAAAUACAUUGCGUCAUCCUCCUCCUCACUUCAUACCAUCUCAGCUCCCCAUCGACCUGCUGCACCAUCAUCUUGAAAUGAGCUGGACAUCCCAUGCUUCGCCGUCAACUUUGGGAAAUGGAUCAAUGUAAUUCCAUCUUGUACCAAAGCAAGGGAUCACAUCCCAUGUUUCACCCUGGCCUUCAAAAGAAUGAACCAAUGAGUCUGGACGAUUCAGCUACGAACAUAUCUUUGCCAUACUAUUUAGUAUUCGAUAAUGUCUAGGUAGAGCAAAUUUACAACAUUAAUGGGAGACUUCCAGUUUGGUGGCAAAAUCAGAGGGAAAGACAGACUAAAACAGAACAUAUUCAUGAACUUUACUCUACUUACAAUCCAUCAGAAGAUUAUCAUAGAAAAUAACUCUUCAGUCACGAGUACUUUUCCGGGUCCUGGUUAUGUUUGCUUGACAAUAUGUUGCUAUCCACUUAAAAAUUUAGUGGUAUAGGCAAUCGUUUUAACGGUGACAAGGUCGCAAUCUUUUAGUAAAGCAACUAAAUAAUAAGGAUAAAUACACUAUUGAGGGCACGUCACCAGAGGUCAUAUUCAGCGCCUCCAAAUCAAUGACGUGUGACCUCGUCUCCACAUCUAGCAGCUGUGAAGAUGGUAGGACAGUUCCCCGCCAUUCCUGCAAGAUGAACACCACAAACAAAUGAAAAUAAGCACGAAAUGACCAGAUUCUAAAGAAAGAGCCAAGCAACAGAGAAAAGGGGGCAAAUCAUGGUGGAGCAGCACCAAGUGUGCGCAACGACGACGAAUGGAAGGCGCUCCUAGGCCUGACUGAAAUAAAACGAAGGUGGCCGAAAAUACAGAGUAAUGCCGAACAUACAAAAUUGUGCAGAGAAAAAUGGGCAUUCUGAAACACAACCAUGUAGAACUAUAUAGAAACUUGAGAAUAUUUAGAUGGAUAAACUGCCAAUGAGAAGGCACUGCAACGACCAGCCAUAGCUACUAGGUACUGCAUGUUGAAUGCUAGCAUCACACACUGGCCAGAGGCGCAGGUGCACAGCCUGGCCUCCGCAGGGUGUGUUCGCCGUUGUCUUAUACAGAAAAAAAAACAUAGAUGGGAGUGACUGCUGGUCCAGAUUUUUUUUUUACCCAAUACUCAAGAUAAAUGAAAGUGAUUGUUCUUAUAUUCAAAGAGGCUUACACUGCGAAUUAUAGCCUCUGAACCAUAUUUGCAAUUUUAUAUGCAUAAAUUCCCAGAAUGCAGUUCAUAUUUCAGGAAAUUGUUUUUUCACUCCCCAACCGGCUCAGCGUAGAAUAAGGUUCAGAACUUCUGAUACCGUACCAUAAAUUUCCAGAAUGCAGUUCAUAAAGAAUGCAGUUCAUAUGUCCCUACUGUACUGCAUGUAGUAUUUGUGGAAGCUAGCAAGCAAUAAGGUUCUCAUACGCUUACAAAGAACAAAUUAUUAAGGCAUCUGGAGCAAGUUGACCAAAUGGUGAUUUCUGGGGAGCAGAAAUUAUAUUAUUUUCUAUUAAAUUUCGUUUUUUUUCCUUUGACGAAUCUGUUAUAGUCCUACAGCAUAUAACCAGAGCGGUAAUAGCUAGCCAUAUGAUACCUUGAAAACUAUUAGAUGGAAAUACAUAGAGCAAAUAUGCUAAUCAGAUUUACAAUCAGGGAGUUGUCGCUGCAGCUAAAAAAAUAAACAAAAAUAUGAUAAUCAGGUGCACAAUUUUGGUGCUACACACCUAUACCUGGACCUCCACCGUGCACUACUACUACUCUGUAUCACACUUGACACUUCUACUUGGCAAUACCCUUGACAGUGGUAUACUCUUACCACAACCGGC
rnacentral:lncRNA from 1 species